rnacentral:rRNA from 1 species
GUGAGUCAUCGAAUCUUUGAACGCACCUUGCGCUCCUUGGUAUUCCGAGGAGCAUGCCUGCUUGAGUGUCAUUAAUAUAUCAACCUUCUCUUAUUUGAGUUGUUGGAUGUGGGGGUUUGCUGGACUCUUAAAAGGAUUCAGCUCCCCUGAAAUACAUUAGCAGAACAACCCUGUUCAUAUGUGGUGUGAUAACUAUCUACGCUAUUGAAUGUGAAGGGCAGUUUGGCUUUCUAACAGUCCUUGGACAGCUCAUCAUUAAUGUGACCUCAAAUCAGGUAGGACUACCCGCUGAACUUAAGCAUAUCAAUAAGCGGAGG